GACGAACGCUGGCGGCGUGCUUAACACAUGCAAGUCGAACGAAGUGGCGAACGGGUGAGUAACGCGUAAUCAACCUGCCCUUCAGAGGGGGACAACAGUUGGAAACGACUGCUAAUACCGCAUACUGAAGGUGGGGAUUGCGUCGGAUUCGCUAGUUGGGGGGGUAACGGCCCACCAAGGCGAGGAUCAGUAGCCUGUCUGAGAGGAUGAACGGCCACAUUGGGACUGAGAAACGGCCCAGGCUCCGACGGGAGGGAGCAAGGGGGAAUCUUCCGAAAUGGACGAAAGUCUGAAGGAGCAACGCCGCGGGAGUGAUGACGGGCUUCGGGUUGUAAAGCUCUGUUAAGCGGGACGCGGUACCGGAAUAGAAAGCCACGGCUAACUACGUGCCAGCCGCCGCGGUAAUAC
rnacentral:rRNA from 1 species